rnacentral:rRNA from 1 species
CCUACGGGAGACAGCAGUGAGGAAUAUUGGUCAAUGGGCGGGAGCCUGAACCAGCCAAGCCGCGUGAGGGAAGAAGGUACAGCGUAUCGUAAACCUCUUUUGUCAGGGAACAAAGGCGGGGACUAGUCCCCGGAUGAGGGUACCUGAAGAAAAAGCAUCGGCUAACUCCGUGCCAGCAGCCGCGGUAAUACGGAGGAUGCGAGCGUUAUCCGGAUUUAUUGGGGUAAAGGGGUGCGCAGGCGGCCUGUUAAGUCAGCGGGAAAAGCCCGGGGCUCACCCCCGGCGAGCCGUUGAAACUGGCGGGCUGGAGUUGGAGAGAGGUACGCGGAAUGCGCGGUGUAGCGGUGAAAUGCUUAGAUAUCGCGCAGAACCCCGAUUGCGAAGGCAGCGUACCGGCUCCACACUGACGCUGAGGCACGAAAGCGUGGGUAUCGAACAGGAUUAGAUACCCCAGUAGUC